rnacentral:sRNA from 1 species
ACGCCAGCGACAGCGCGUCAAGAAUGCA